rnacentral:rRNA from 1 species
GCGAAACUGCGAACGGCUCAUUAUAUGAGUUAUAGUAUAUUUGAUACUGCUCUUUUCCAUGGAUAACCGUGGUAAUUCUAGGGCUAAUACAUGCUGAAAAUCCCGACUUCGGAAGGGAUGUAUUUAUUAGAUAAAAAACCAGUGCCCUUUGGGCUUUCUGGUGACUCUGGAUAACUAAACAAAUCGCAUGGCCUUGUGCUGGCGAUGGCUCAUUCAAAUAUCUUCCCUAUCAACUUUCGAUGGUAGUAUCUGGGACUACCAUGGUGAUAACGGGUAACGGAGGGUUAGGGCUCGACCCCGGAGAGAUAGCCUGAGAAACGGCUUUCACAUCCAAGGAAGGCAGCAGGCGCGCAAAUUACCCAAUCCCAAUUCGGGGAGGUACGUUUUAACCUGUAAUUCUCGACUUUUUCGAGGAAACACACGCUAACAUUACUUUGCUUUAUAGGUAGUGACGAUAAAUACCGAUACAGGGCUCUUUUGGGCCCUGUAAUUGGAAUGAGUACAAUUUAAACCUCUUAACGAGGAACAACUGGAGGGCAAGUCUGGUAAACUUUUGCAGUUUCAUUUUCUGCUGGUGCCAGCAAGAGUGGGAAGGGCGAACCCCUAGGGGUCGCACUUUCUAACCCGCUAGUCGAGCAUCCAUCACCCGGGCGGGGGGAUGCCGGCGAGACAACCUGGAUCGGGGAAGGCUAAGGGGCAAUGCCCUAUGCUAAUCUCGAGCAGAGCACCCUGGGAGCGAUCCCGGGCAGUUGCCUGUGUAGAGCGCGCAAAGGUGUCGGCCACGCUGCAGUUGACUGCAGCUGGCUUAAGGGACGCGCCGUCCCCCGCGAAAGCGGGUUCCUGCCUAGAACGCCCGCCACGUAAAGGGCAGGAAGCUACGGGAUGCGUUCAGCAUUUUCGGUAGUGGUCAUCAAACGGCCAGCAGCCGCGGUAAUUCCAGCUCCAGUAGCGUAUAUUAACGCUGCUGCGAUUAAAAAGCUCGUAGUCGGACCUUGGGCCUGGCCGGUCGGUCCGCCUCACCGCGUGUACUGGCCGCGCCGGGUCCUUCCUUCUGCGGAUACUCAUGCCCUUUACUGGGCGUGUUGGGGAUGCAGGACUUUUACCUUGAGAAAAUUAGAGUGUUCAAGGCAGGCCUAUGCUCGGAUAUUCCAGCAUGGAAUAAUAUAAUAGGACGCUGGUUCUAUUUAUUGGUUUAUGGAGCCGUCGUAAUGAUCAAUAGGGACGGUCGGGGGCAUCCGUAUUCAAUCGUCAGAGGUGAAAUUCUUGGACCGAUUGAAGACGAACUACUGCGAAAGCAUUUGCCAAGGACGUUUUCGCUGAUCAGGAACGAAAGUUGGGGGAUCGAAGACGAUCAGAUACCGUCGUAGUCUCAACUAUAAACUAUGCGAAUUAGGGAUCGGGCGAUGUUAAUUUUCGACUCGCCCGGCACCUGAGGGAGAAAUC